rnacentral:lncRNA from 1 species
AUAUCAAAAUGAAGCCCUAAACACCUACUAUCACGUUGGACUAGUUUUAGGGUCUAAAAACAACGCGAUCAAACUUUCAAAAAUUCAAGAAAUCGGCCUACCUUCGAACUAGGUGAUCCCGACGUCCAAUUCAUGCCAACGAAGCACUCCGAGCUUCCUUGGGACUUCCUUAAGCUCACUGUGAGCUUGGUUUCACCUAAAACAAAGUCAAUUCGAAGAUCAUGAACAGUGCUCUUCACCGGAACUUUGAAACUAGGGUUUUCCGAAGCAAAACUUAC